GAGGGGAGGAAGUGACCAAGUGGACCGAAUAGAAGAAAAGGCCUCGAACAGAGAUAACCGGCGCCGUUAGCGGACUAACGGAGAGAGUAGAUGAAAGGUGGUUCCCACAAUGGGGCUCAGUGUGCCAUCGUCGGUCCAACGAGUGUUCUUGUAUUCUCAGAUCGGUGUAUUCUUGGACAAAUAUGUCCGUACGGUCUAUGUAUUCUUUGGCUUCAGAUUCUAACUUUCAUUCAUAUUCGGUGAGAGAUCUUAAGGCCAUAAGCUAUUAUAACUCAGCUCAACAACAUCAUCCGUUUCAUAUAUACACGUUUAUACUACUUAUGGUGAAAAAUAAGUAAAGUGAUGUUGUCGAG
rnacentral:lncRNA from 1 species